rnacentral:rRNA from 1 species
GCAUAUCAAUAAGCGGAGGAAAAGAAACCAACAGGGAUUGCCCUAGUAACGGCGAGUGAAGCGGCAACAGCUCACAUUUGAAAUCUGGCCCUCGGGUCCGAGUUGUAAUUUGUAGAGGAUGCUUUUGGUGAGGUGCCUUCCGAGUUCCCUGGAACGGGACGCCAUAGAGGGUGAGAGCCCCGUCUGGUUGGACACCGAGCCUCUGUAAAGCUCCUUCGACGAGUCGAGUAGUUUGGGAAUGCUGCUCUAAAUGGGAGGUAUAUGUCUUCUAAAGCUAAAUACCGGCCAGAGACCGAUAGCGCACAAGUAGAGUGAUCGAAAGAUGAAAAGCACUUUGAAAAGAGAGUUAAAAAGUACGUGAAAUUGUUGAAAGGGAAGCGCUUAUGACCAGACUUGGGCUUGGUUGAUCAUCCUGGGUUCUCCCUGGUGCACUCUUCCAGUUCAGGCCAGCAUCAGUUCGCUGCGGGGGAUAAAAGUUUUGGGAAUGUGGCUCCUUCGGGAGUGUUAUAGCCCAUUUCAUAAUACCCUGCUCCGGACUGAGGUUCGCGCAUCUGCAAGGAUGCUGGCGUAAUGGUCAUCAGCGACCCGUCUUGAAACACGGACCAAGGAGUCGUCUUCGUAUGCGAGUGUUCGGGUGUUAAACCCCUACGCGUAAUGAAAGUGAACGCAGGUGAGAGCUUCGGCGCAUCAUCGACCGAUCCUGAUGUUCUCGGAUGGAUUUGAGUAAGAGCAUACGGGGCCGGACCCGAAAGAAGGUGAACUAUGCCUGUAUAGGGUGAAGCCAGAGGAAACUCUGGUGGAGGCUCGCAGCGGUUCUGACGUGCAAAUCGAUCGUCAAAUAUGGGCAUGGGGGCGAAAGACUAAUCGAACCUUCUAGUAGCUGGUUUCCGCCGAAGU